rnacentral:rRNA from 1 species
CCUACGGGUGGCAGCAGUGGGGAAUAUUGCACAAUGGGGGAAACCCUGAUGCAGCGACGCCGCGUGAGUGAAGAAGUAUUUCGGUAUGUAAAGCUCUAUCAGCAGGGAAGAAAAUGACGGUACCUGACUAAGAAGCCCCGGCUAACUACGUGCCAGCAGCCGCGGGAAUACGUAGGGGGCAAGCGUUGUCCGGAUUUACUGGGUGUAAAGGGCGUGUAGGCGGGAGGACAAGUCAGAUGUGAAAUCCCGCGGCUCAACCGCGGAACUGCAUUUGAAACUGUUUUGCUUGAGUACAGGAGAGGUAAGCGGAAUUCCUUGUGUAGCGGUGAAAUGCGUAGAUAUAAGGAAGAACACCAGUGGCGAAGGCGGAUGACUGGACGGCAACUGACGGUGAGGCGCGAAAGCGUGGGGAGCAAACAGGAUUAGAUACCCCAGUAGUC